UUUUUAGGCUCUCCUUCUAUUCCUGCAUACAUGGCCUCCACUGAGUCAGCGAAAGCAAAAGCAAGGUCAUUGAGUUCGCCAAGAUUAAGACCGCUUAGUUUCGAUGUCUGUUCUGAGAUUACCUCACCUUAUAAGCACAAGCUUUCUCCUAUAUCAUCGAUUAACAGUGAGCUGACAAGCGCGAGUUGGGUUGGUAAUCAUUUCAAUUUCUCGCAGAGAUCACCGCAGUUGAGAGGUCUGAAUGGUCCUAUAAAAUCAACCAUGAGCACAAAGGAACUACGACUUCGGGGGAUUCAUUUCCAUAAUGGUACGGAUGAUGCAAAUUCAAUGGGGAAAUAAGCUGCUAGAAACAAUCCAGUUUCGGUUGUUGACUUUAGCUUUAUGUAAAUGUUUGGAAUUUCUAUAUCUUAUAAUUAACGAAUGAUGGAGCAUGAGAGUGCUAAGUCCUUAUUAUUUUAAGAAUUGUUUUAAGUAACAUUUGUGUUCAAGAUUCUUUUAAAAAACAUGCCUAUAUCUGUAGUGAAGUAACUAACAAGAACCCUACAACGUUCCAACACGAAGAGGAACAGAAGGGAGCAGAAGAUCAUUCUUCAUUACCAGCAAUUUCAAGACCACAAAAUCGAAACAGAUAAUUCAAAAUUUUAUUCGUGUCGUAAUUGAACUUUGGGCCAUUACUCCAUCCUAAUGCUUCACUGCCAUAAUCAUGACAUACCGUAUUAGGUUGGGGUAAAUUGCUAGGUCAAUGCCAAAUUACUUUACUUAUCAUUUUAUCCCCAACCAAACAAAGCCACGAUUUUUACCUACUUUUUACACUAUUUUACUCAUUGUUUUCCUUGAUCCAAGCCUAGAUCCCAAAUCUUUCUUUCCUUUCUCCUUUUUCACACAAUCCUCAGCUAUUGCAAGGAUGAAUUAGUUGAAUCAUUUUACCACAAAUGAAAGAGAUCACUAACUGUAACUUGUAACAAGAAACGAAAGAUCUAUUUAUAAAUCCAGUGUUUAUCAGUGCAGUUUUCUGCAAAAAUAAAACUGAAUCAAUUAUAUUUAUUUAUAAUUGUAAGAGGAAUACUUGCUAAUAAUGCAUAUUCAAGGUCAUAGAGUUCAUGACAUGAUUGAAGUCUACAGAAUGCAGCCUAGCACAAUUAUUGGUUUUUCUAUUCAAUAACUCAGUGAUAAAAAAUCAAGAACUACCGUUUUCGUUCUCAAUCUUAUGACUGCAUGCAUGGAAAAUCCAUCUACGAAACAUUGUGCUGAUACAUCACUUUUACGGGAUGUUCAACUAAAUUACUUCUCAUGUAUUUUUGUAAGUUUUAGCUAGGAGAUUUCAUUUAUGAACUAUGAUGAUUCACUACGGUUUUUUACCCUCUAAUUUGCAUGGUCAAUUACACCCAAUAUAUCUGUCACAAGUGAAUCAAUUAUGUUACUUCUCACAAUUUACUAUAUAUGCCACAAGCAGAAAGCAGCAUAGAAAUUACCUUGUUGAUUCGAGAAGCCAGCGUGGAGGCUGAGUACGUUAAUUGUUUUUGAAGCUUUCUACCCUGCAAUCAUAUCAAUAAACCUUAAGUAAAUUAGUAUUAUUAAAAAGUAAUAAACCACCAAAUCCCAUUCUUGAAAACUAAUUACAAAAAAGCAAAGCUGAAAGAAAAGUUUCAGAUCUACUGCUAUGUUUUGUACUUUAUUCAAGAAACAAAAGAUUCCUAAUCUUUUAUAUGUAAAGCAGACAAGCAACACUUAUCACUAGUAUUAAACUAAUCUCCACUACCAUUAAAGAACUAAACAGUCUGCACCAUCAUUAAACUAAUCCCAGUUUAAUAGUAGAAUAUACCUGAUUAAGUACUCUGCUAAUCUUCACUGUAGACUAAACACUCUUUCCACUUUUGAAAACCCUAACUCACAAGCCCCAACCAAACAUGGCAGCUCAUAC
rnacentral:lncRNA from 1 species